ACCCAAAGUGUUGAGUUCAGUGCAGGGUUGACUCCCUUGUUCUGGUAAUUAAGCUUUGGGACAGUAACUAAUUGGGAGAUGUCAGAGGUGGAAAGCUCUACUUUCAUGCCAGUCAUGCUUUUCUGCCAGUUCCCUCUCCCAGCUCACAAAA